rnacentral:rRNA from 1 species
CCAGGUGACAAUGGCGGGGUGGAACCACCCGUUCCCAUCCCGAACACGGUAGUGAAACGCCCCAGCGCAGACGAUACUGCCCCAGGUGGGUGGGACAAUAUGGCGUCGCCAGGA